rnacentral:rRNA from 1 species
UAGGGAAUAUUAGAAAUGGACGAAAGUCUGAUCUAGCAACACCGCGUGUGCGAAGAAGGCCUUCGGGUCGUAAAGCACUUUUUGGAAGGAAUAGGAAGGAAUGUACUUCCAGAAUAAGUCUCGGCUAACUACGUGCCAGCAGCCGCGGUAACACGUAGGAGGCGAACGUUAUCCGGAUUUACUGGGCGUAAAGCGCGUGUAGGUGGUACUGUAAGUAGGGCGUGAAAGCUCCUGGCUCAACUGGGAGAGGCCGUUCUAAACUACAGAACUAGAGGAUGGUAGGGGGAGGUGGAAUUCCAGGUGUAGCGGUGGAAUGCGCAGAUAUCUGGAGGAACACCGGUGGCGAAGGCGGCCUCCUAGACCAUUCCUGACACUCAGACGCGAAAGCUAGGGUAGCAAACGG